rnacentral:rRNA from 1 species
UAGGGAAUCUUCGGCAAUGGACGAAAGUCUGACCGAGCAACGCCGCGUGAGUGAAGAAGGUUUUCGGAUCGUAAAACUCUGUUGGUAGAGAAGAACGUUGGUGAGAGUGGAAAGCUCAUCAAGUGACGGUAACUACCCAGAAAGGGACGGCUAACUACGUGCCAGCAGCCGCGGUAAUACGUAGGUCCCGAGCGUUGUCCGGAUUUAUUGGGCGUAAAGCGAGCGCAGGUGGUUUAUUAAGUCUGGUGUAAAAGGCAGUGGCUCAACCAUUGUAUGCAUUGGAAACUGGUAGACUUGAGUGCAGGAGAGGAGAGUGGAAUUCCAUGUGUAGCGGUGAAAUGCGUAGAUAUAUGGAGGAACACCGGUGGCGAAAGCGGCUCUCUGGCCUGUAACUGACACUGAGGCUCGAAAGCGUGGGGAGCAAACAGGAUUAGAUACCCUGGUAGUCCACGCCGUAAACGAUGAGUGCUAGAUGUAGGGAGCUAUAAGUUCUCUGUAUCGCAGCUAACGCAAUAAGCACUCCGCCUGGGGAGUACGACCGCAAGGUCGAAAC